CGAACCCGACUUUGGUUAACAAAAAAUCCUCUCAUCCCCAUACCCGGUCGGGUACCAAAUACCCGUGAGGUCCCUGGCCCCAUACCCAAGUACCAGGUAACACUAGAACUGAUUCAGUUUCUGGAAGCUCUUCUGCAUUCCCCUCAUCCCGUCGCUUCUAUAGGCGUUUACUUCUCAAUGUAGUAUAUGUACGUACCUCUUGACGAGAUCUGUUGGUACUCUGGACGAACAGGCGCUGGUCGCUGGAGUGCUGGACGGAAACUCGGGUCAGUGGCUCCGGACGGGCGACCGGCCGGCGGCGGGCCGUGCAGGGUAAAGUCGCAAGGCGGAGCCGCGGAGGGCGGAGACCCAGGCGGAGGACGGAUGCGAAGGCGGCACUAGCACGGUACCAGGCAGAUGCGGAGGGCGGAGGACCAGAACGGCACAGGCACGGUACCAGGCUGAGGCGCAGGGGCGGAGGGCGCCGGCGCGUUGGCGGCGCCCAAGAAGAUCGAAGACUCGAAGGUGUUUCACACGAAUCACGCCACGCAACACAAACGGACUUGUCUUAGGUUCAGCUUCUGCCGGAUCAGUCAGAAUCGGUUUUUAGUAGCCAACGG
rnacentral:lncRNA from 1 species